CUGAUGGCUUUGAUUCCCAUUUUCAUUUCCCCUCUGAUGCAGGGCUCCUGAUUCUCCUCAGCCUGACGCUCUUUGCCAUCGACUGCAACAGGCUGCGCCCCGAGGCCACAGGGACUUUGUCCUUCCUCAACCAAGUGCGGAUGUGGAGCUACAGUACACCUUUCAUGGAGAGGAGGCUCAGCUACUACCGUUGGGCCUCGAGACACCACUCUUUACACUUGCAGCAGCUGUCUAUUUCGGCCAGAAGCUUGGAGUUGACCCAGAAGCUGUCUACUGCAAGCAGCUUUGUGAACUACCUGGAGCCUCCCCAACAGAGGGACGACGCAACUUCUCAGGACACUGAUGAGUCCCCGCAGCCUGAUGCCUCUACCUCGGUCCCUGUGGCUCAGUUUCCAUCAGACCUCCCCUGAGGUCCCAUACUUCCCCUGAGAGCAGGUAGCACCCUGGGGACACAGGUGGCAAGCCCCACUCCCCACUUUAAGGCCCAGUCUUUACUGCCUGAGUCGGACCCUCCUCUGAAAGUCCUCCAGUACUCUCACCUGUGGUUAUGUCUUUCUGAGCACACAUUGGUUUGUGGUCCCAAGCAGUGGGAGCAAGGUGGCCCUUUUCCCAAGCUGGGCACUGCUCUGCCCCACAGGGCAUGCCCCUAAGCCUCCCUUCAUCUUUGGUCCAGCCCUACCAGAGAUAUACCCUCCAGGGGGUCCAGGGGGAUACUCUGCAGCCUAGCCUUGGGGGCAGUCCCUACCCUUCUGUGGACAGACAACUCUCCAGGAAGAAAAGGCUUAAUUUAUGUAACAUGCCCAUCCCCCUCCUGUUUCUCCGAAUCAAUAAAACCAG
rnacentral:sRNA from 1 species